UCGAGAAGUUAGAGAGAAGAGAGAGGUUCUGAGCGAUUGUAACCUAAAGGAUUGUUUCUCAGAGAUCUAGUGGAUUCCGGAGGUUUACUCCGGCGAGACGUAGGGAUUCCGGUUUGGAUCCUGAACUCGUUAAUCACGUGUGUUCUUUUUCUUUCUGUUCUCGUUUCGUUUUGUUCAUUGAUUCGAUUCAAUCGUUGAUCGUUAGCUGAAUCUAUCGGAUUACAUAACAAUCUCAGCUUAUAAAUAAAGAGAUACAGUGUAAGUGGUUCCUCAUGCAAUAUUGUUUUGCUAUCCCCGAACGGCUACGUCUUUGCAUCGCCCAAACCUCUUGUCAGAUUCCUCAAUUCAAAGUCCGGCGGACGGAAACUUCUCGUCUCCGUCGUCAGAGCUUCUUCUUCUGAUGCUGAUUGUAAUGCCGAAGAAUGUGCUCCCGAGAAAGAGGUUGGAACUGUGAGUAUGGAAUGGUUAGCUGGAGAGAAGACUAAAGUGGUGGGAACAUUCCCACCUCGGAAGCCUCGUGGUUGGACUGGCUAUGUUGAGAAAGAUACUGCUGGUCAGACUAAUGUUUACUCUAUUGAGGAAGAAGAAGAAUGAUGCAGAACCACACGUGUGAGUGGAGUGAAGAGCACGUGCGAAGGGGACACUGUGGAAACAUCUUGGAGACAACUUAUAUGGAAGCUAAUCUCGAUCGAACACGUGGAUGGCAUGGAUUAAGCGGCUUAGAAGGCCGUUGGAGGGUGUCUAUAUCAUGUGUUUUCUUCUUCCUUUUGAUUUAUCGAAUCGUUAUCAGAAAAAACUUGUAAAAAUCCCUAAAAAUAUUUGGCUGGGCUUCUCUCGCUUUGAGAGCUGGCUUGUCGAUUUGGUGUUUCAUGAAUACUAAAUUGAUUAUUUGGUGACUUGA